GAUCCUUUAGCAUCGGUGUGGGAUGUCUCAUACUGCUGGGAAGCGCGGCGUGCAGGGAGACAGGAGAUAAGAAAGUUGUCCUUGGUGAUAAAUAUGCCGACUCGCUGGGCGCCUUAAGUGAUACUGUACCUCCAAGGAGUGCCGAAAGGACGUGACAGCGUAGAGAAUAGGAGGCGUGAGGGAAGGGAGGAGCGGUAGCAAGGUACAAGAAACCGGAUAGUCGGAUAGUCUUCUUGAUGGAUCGUGUCGCAAGAAGUAAACUGUCUGGCCACGCUGUUGAGGUUGGGCAUGGUCGGCCGGUCCCCCACUGAACAUAAGCGUGACCCUCCAGCCAACGCCCUCACGCUCCCACCCCCACCACUACCAGCAACAACGCCAUCGCCACCACCACCAUCACCACCCCCACCACUACCAGCAACAACGCCAUCGCCACCACCACCAUCACCAUCCCUACCACCAGCAGCAACAACGCCAUCGCCACCACCACCAUCACCACCAUCGCCCUCAUGUCUUCAGAACCUUCCCGAUCAGCUGUAUUCUUCACCUCAGAUCAGUAGGUAAGUGGAUUUAAUGCCUCCGAUCAUGAAGCUUCUGGAAUUCGACUCACCAUUUGUCAACGCCAGAGUAUAAUACUGAA